rnacentral:rRNA from 1 species
AUUGAACGCUGGCGGCAGGCCUAACACAUGCAAGUCGAGCGAGCGGCGGACGUGUGGGUAAUGUCUGGGACUCGUCCUGGUGGAUAGGGAUAACUACUGGGAACGGUAGCUAAUACCGCAUACCAUCAGCUGGGCCCAGGGGGGAUUAGCUAGUAGGUGGGGUAAAGGCUUACCAAGGCGACGAUCCCUAGCUGGUCUGAGAGGAUGACCAGUCACACUGGAACUGAGACACGGUCCAGACUCCUACGGGAGGCAGCAGUGGGGAAUAUUGCACAAUGGGCGAAAGCCUGAUGCAGCCAUGCCGCGUGUAUGAAGAAGGCCUUCGGGUUGUAAAGCACUUUAAGUGGGGAGGCGUUACCAACAGAAGAAGCACCGGCUAACUCCGUGCCAGCAGCCGCGGUAAUUC